UUCCUACGGGAGGCUGCAGCUAAGAAUAUUCCGCAAUGGACGAAAGUCUGACGGAGCGACGCCGCGUGGAUGAGGAAGGCCGAAAGGUUGUAAAGUCCUUUUGUCGAUGAAGAAUAAGCGGUGGAGGGAAUGCCAUCGUGAUGACGUUAGUCGGCGAAUAAGCCCCGGCUAAUUACGUGCCAGCAGCCGCGGUAACACGUAAGGGGCAAGCGUUGUUCGGAAUUAUUGGGCGUAAAGGGCGCGUAGGCGGACCUGCAAGCCCGGCGGGAAAUCCUGGAGCUUAACGCCGGAACUGCGCUGGGAACUGCGGGACUAGAGUCAUGGAGGGGGAGUUGGAAUUCCAGGUGUAGGGGUGAAAUCUGUAGAUAUCUGGAAGAACACCGGUGGCGAAGGCGAACUUCUAGCCAAUGACUGACGCUGAGGCGCGAAAGUGCGGGGAGCAAACAGGAUUAGAUACCCUAGUAGUC
rnacentral:rRNA from 1 species